rnacentral:rRNA from 1 species
GAGUUUGAUCCUGGCUCAGGAUGAACGCUGGCGGCGUGCCUAAUACAUGCAAGUCGAGCGAACAGAUAAGGAGCUUGCUCCUUUGAAGUUAGCGGCGGACGGGUGAGUAACACGUGGGUAACCUACCUAUAAGACUGGGAUAACUUCGGGAAACCGGAGCUAAUACCGGAUAAUAUUUAGAACCGCAUGGUUCUAAAGUGAAAGAUGGUUUUGCUAUCACUUAUAGAUGGACCCGCGCCGUAUUAGCUAGUUGGUAAGGUAACGGCUUACCAAGGCGACGAUACGUAGCCGACCUGAGAGGGUGAUCGGCCACACUGGAACUGAGACACGGUCCAGACUCCUACGGGAGGCAGCAGUAGGGAAUCUUCCGCAAUGGGCGAAAGCCUGACGGAGCAACGCCGCGUGAGUGAUGAAGGGUUUCGGCUCGUAAAACUCUGUUAUUAGGGAAGAACAAAUGUGUAAGUAACUGUGCACAUCUUGACGGUACCUAAUCAGAAAG